GGACCCGCACAAGUAGUGGAGCAUGUGGUUUAAUUCGAAGAUACGCGCAGAACCUUACCAACACUUGACAUGUUCGUCGCGACUCUAAGAGAUUAGAGUUUUCGGUUCGGCCGGACGAAACACAGGUGCUGCAUGGCUGUCGUCAGCUCGUGUCGUGAGAUGUUGGGUUAAGUCCCGCAACGAGCGCAACCCUCACUUUUAGUUGCCAUCAUUAAGUUGGGCACUCUGAAAGAACUGCCAGUGAUAAGCUGGAGGAAGGUGGGGAUGACGUCAAGUCCUCAUGGCCCUUACGUGUUGGGCUACACACGUGCUACAAUGGGUAUCUACAACAGGAAAGCAAAAAUCUGCGAAGUU
rnacentral:rRNA from 1 species